GAAAUUCAGCGAGUAGGUGGACAUGUGCUUGAUAAGCCUAUUCUGAAAAACUUUGCCUCAAGACUGUUAGAUAAGAUGAUUCAUAUAUAUGGAGACUUCCUUACCAGUCAAGAAUCCCAGGGAUCUCGAGUUUCAGAGAAAGGGGUGUUGCAAGUUCUAUUGGAUCUAAGAUUCGCUUCAGAUAUCCUCUCUGGUGGUGAUUGUAGUGCAAAUGAAGAGUCAUUGAAAAUGCCUAAGGUAAAGCAUCCUUUUAGAAGAAAGCAGGAUGUACAACUAAACAAGUCAGUCUCCGAAGAGCGUGUCAAUGGGUUGAUAAGUAGCUUUGCACAAGGACUGGAUCCUAUUGAUUGGCUCACUUAUGAGCCAUAUCUUUGGGAGAAUGAGAGGCAGUCAUACCUGAGGCAUGCUGUCCUCCUUGGGUUCUUUGUACAGCUUAAUCGGAUGUAUACAGAUACUGCACAGAAACUGCCAACCAAUUCAGAGUCCAACAUCAUGCGCUGCUCUGCAGUACCUCGCUUCAAAUAUCUCCCAAUCAGUGCCCCAGCAUUGUCUUCAAGGGGGACAACCAAGGCAUCAAUCUCAGCAUCUAUCAAUGAUGUUUCAUCUAGAGGUCCCUGGAAAAGUUACACAAAUGAUGAACUGUCUCGAAAGGUUGAUAUUGAUGAAAAUUCUAGUUCCGGGAUAACAUCGCCGUUUUUGAAAUCAUUUAUGCAGGUUGGCAGCAAAUUUGGCGAGAGCACGCUGAAACUGGGAUCAAUACUAACUGAUGGGCAAGUUGGCAGGUUUGGUGACAUAUUACCCGUUCAAGCUUCUGGCUUCCAUUCCUUCUUCACAACUGCCAGAUCAGAGUAACUGUUGAGAAACUUUUAACGAGCUUUAUUCAAAACAACAACGUUGAAGUUGACAAUAGUUGCUUUUGCCGGAUACAGAAAGAUAAUUUAGUAAAGAUCAAGAAUGUAGGGAUGUUGAACAUUAGGAGAUGGAUAUUCAUUUUUGAGAGGAAAGUAUCGUUACUUAUCUUAUUUUUUGCAGUCACGUAUAAGGGAAUUUUACUCUGUAAUUUAUGAUAUUGAUUGGAACCAGCUGUCGAUGAGCUUAAUCUACUUGUACAAAAGAGGAUAAACGAAAAGAUGUUUCAG
rnacentral:misc_RNA from 1 species